GUAGUCAUAUGCUUGUCUCAAAGAUUAAGCCAUGCAUGUCUAAGUAUAAGCAAUUAUACAGCGAAACUGCGAAUGGCUCAUUAUAUAAGUUAUCGUUUAUUUGAUAGUACCUUACUACUUGGAUAACCGUGGUAAUUCUAGAGCUAAUACAUGCUAAAAAUCCCGACUUCGGAAGGGAUGUAUUUAUUAGAUUAAAAACCAAUGCCCUCUGGGCUCUCUGGUGAUUCAUGAUAACUUCUCGAAUCGCAUGGCCUUGCGCCGGCGAUGGUUCAUUCAAAUUUCUUCCCUAUCAACUUUCGAUGUUUGGGUAGUGGCCAAACAUGGUUGCAACGGGUAACGGAGGGUUAGGGCUCGACCCCGGAGAAGGAGCCUGAGAAACGGCUACUACAUCCAAGGAAGGCAGCAGGCGCGCAAAUUACCCAAUCCCGACACGGGGAGGUAGUGACAAUAAAUACUGAUACAGGGCUCUUUUGGGUCUUGUAAUUGGAAUGAGUACAAUUUAAAUCCCUUAACGAGGAACAAUUGGAGGGCAAGUCUGGUGCCAGCAGCCGCGGUAAUUCCAGCUCCAAUAGCGUAUAUUAAAGUUGUUGUGGUUAAAAAGCUCGUAGUUGAACCUUGGGCCUGGCUGGCCGGUCCGCCUCACCGCGUGUACUGGUCCGGCCGGGCCUUUCCCUCUGUGGAACCCCAUGCCCUUCACUGGGUGUGGCGGGGAAACAGGACUUUUACUUUGAAAAAAUUAGAGUGCUCCAGGCAGGCCUAUGCUCGAAUACAUUAGCAUGGAAUAAUGAAAUAGGACGUGCGGUUCUAUUUUGUUGGUUUCUAGGACCGCCGUAAUGAUUAAUAGGGACAGUCGGGGGCAUCAGUAUUCAAUUGUCAGAGGUGAAAUUCUUGGAUUUAUUGAAGACUAACUACCGCGAAAGCAUUUGCCAAGGAUGUUUUCAUUAAUCAGGAACGAAAGUUAGGGGAUCGAAGACGAUCAGAUACCGUCGUAGUCUUAACCAUAAACUAUGCCGACUAGGGAUCGGACGAUGUUAUUUUUUGACUCGUUCGGCACCUUACGAGAAAUCAAAGUGCUUGGGCUCCAGGGGGAGUAUGGUCGCAAGGCUGAAACUUAAAGAAAUUGACGGAAGGGCACCACCAGGGGUGGAGCCUGCGGCUUAAUUUGACUCAACACGGGGAAACUCACCAGGUCCAGACACAAUGAGGAUUGACAGAUUGAGAGCUCUUUCUCGAUUUUGUGGGUGGUGGUGCAUGGCCGUUCUUAGUUGGUGGAGUGAUUUGUCUGCUUAAUUGCGAUAACGAACGAGACCUUAACCUGCUAAAUAGCCCGUAUUGCUUUGGCAGUACGCUGGCUUCUUAGAGGGACUAUCGGCUCAAGCCGAUGGAAGUUUGAGGCAAUAACAGGUCUGUGAUGCCCCUAGAUGUUCUGGGCCGCACGCGCGCUACACUGACGGAGCCAGCGAGUACUCCCUUGGCCGGAAGGCCCGGGUAAUCUUGUUAAACUCCGUCGUGCUGGGGAUAGAGCAUUGCAAUUGAUUGCUCUUCAACGAGGAAUGCCUA
rnacentral:rRNA from 1 species